rnacentral:rRNA from 1 species
AUUGAACGCUGGCGGCAUGCCUUACACAUGCAAGUCGAACGGUAACGCGGGGCAACCUGGCGACGAGUGGCGAACGGGUGAGUAAUGCAUCGGAACGUGCCCAGUAGUGGGGGAUAGCCCGGCGAAAGCCGGAUUAAUACCGCAUACGACCUACGGGUGGAAGCGGGGGACCGCAAGGCCUCGCGCUAUUGGAGCGGCCGAUGUCAGAUUAGGUAGUUGGUGGGGUAAAGGCCUACCAAGCCUGCGAUCUGUAGCUGGUCUGAGAGGACGACCAGCCACACUGGGAGUGAGACACGGCCCAGACUCCUACGGGAGGCAGCAGUGGGGACUUUUGGACAAUGGGGGCAACCCUGAUCCAGCCAUGCCGCGUGCGGGAAGAAGGCCUUCGGGUUGUAAACCGCUUUUGUCGGGGAAGAAACGCUCCGGGCUAAUACCUGGAGUAAUGACGGUACCCGAAGAAUAAGCACCGGCUAACUACGUGCCAGCAGCCGCCGUAAUAC